ACGAACGCUGGCGGCAUGGAUUAGGCAUGCAAGUCGAACGGGUCAUGUUUCGCAAGACGCAUGACUAGUGGCGAAAGGGUGAGGAACACGUGAGUAACCUGCCCCCAAGUUGGGAACAACCCUCCGAAAGGAAGGCUAAUACCGAAUGUGGAUACGUGGCCGCAUGGCCGUGUGUCUAAAGAUUUAUCGCUUGGGGAGGGGCUCGCGUCCCAUUACGCUUGUUGGCGGGGUAACGGCCCACCAAGGCUAUGACGGGUAGCUGGUCUGAGAGGAUGACCAGCCACACUGGGACGGAGACACUGCCCAGACUCCUACGGGAGGCUGCAGUCGAGAAUCUUCCGCAAUGGGCGAAAGCCUGACGGAGCAAUGCCGCGUGCAGGAUGAAGGCCCUCGGGUCGUAAACUGCUGUCAUCGGGGACGAAUAAAUGACGGUACCCGGAGAGGAAGCAACGGCUAACUACGU
rnacentral:rRNA from 1 species